CAGAGGACCCUAUAAAUGAUUUGUCAUUUAAAAGUGAUAGAGGCUUUUAAGUGUUUAAGAGAUUAACACUGUGAGCAUGCUUUCUCUUGAUCUAAGCUGUAGACUUCUGCUUUCCUACUUACAAUCUCAAAAUGGAUCUUUCAAGCAAUGCAAUUAUCUGCACUUUAGACACUCUCACCUCCAUGGCAGUAGGCCCGCUGCUGAGAAGACAGAACGCACAUCACCAGUCCACGCAUCAGCUGAGAUCUCACUGCAAUUCAAAGGUAGCUGGCAUCACCGGCGGACCCUUCCUGCUGCUGCUGGGUGAUCUGGAUGUCCUCUGAAGAAGCCCUCACUUCUCUGCUGCAUAUUGCUUCCAACUGUAUUUGUAUUUUCCUGACUAGUCCACGAUUGAAUGGGAGCUAGAUUACAUGAAUUCUACAAAGCACGGUAUAUUAUUUCAUAUAUAUGAAAUAUAACAUAGAAACAAUAUAACAUAGAAACAAUUGGUUGAACAAGACACCAGUUUCUCUUCAUAUAUUUCUUUGAUUCAAGAACAAAUAUGCCAUCAUACACCAUUUCAAAAUAUUUUACCCUUUUAAAUAUGUAACAAUCUAAUGUGAUUAAUACACUGGUUCACAGAAGCACAUUUUAUAUAUAAUGACUGAUUGUUCUUAUAAUGUAGAACACUGACUUCUUUGGAAUGCUUAGUAACAUUAAUA